rnacentral:rRNA from 1 species
ACGGCAGCAUAGGUGCUUGCACCUGAUGGCGAGUGGCGAACGGGUGAGUAAUGCAUCGGAACGUGCCCAGUCGUGGGGGAUAACGCAGCGAAAGCUGUGCUAAUACCGCAUACGAUCUAUGGAUGAAAGCGGGGGACCUUCGGGCCUCGCGCGAUUGGAGCGGCCGAUGUUAGAUUAGGUAGUUGGUGAGGUAAAGGCUCACCAAGCCUACGAUCUAUAGCUGGUCUGAGAGGACGACCAGCCACACUGGAACUGAGACACGGUCCAGACUCCUACGGGAGGCAGCAGUGGGGAAUUUUGGACAAUGGGCGAAAGCCUGAUCCAGCAAUACCGCGUGCAGGAAGAAGGCCUUCGGGUUGUAAACUGCUUUUGUACGGAACGAAACGGUCUGGAUUAAUACUCUGGGCUAAUGACGGUACCGUAAGAAUAAGCACCGGCUAACUACGUGCCAGCAGCCGCGGUAAUACGUAGGGUGCAAGCGUUAAUCGGAAUUACUGGGCGUAAAGCGUGCGCAGGCGGUUUUGUAAGACAGGCGUGAAAUCCCCGGGCUCAACCUGGGAAUUGCGCUUGUGACUGCAAGGCUAGAGUACGGUAGAGGGGGGUAGAAUUCCGCGUGUAGCAGUGAAAUGCGUAGAUAUGCGGAGGAACACCGAUAGCGAAGGCAGCCCUCUGGACCUGUACUGACGCUCAUGCACGAAAGCGUGGGGAGCAAACAGGAUUAGAUACCCUGGUAGUCCACGCCCUANACGAUGUCAACUGGUUGUUGGGAAUUUACUUUCUCAGUAACGAAGCUAACGCGUGAAGUUGACCGCCUGGGGAGUAUGG